rnacentral:misc_RNA from 1 species
CGUGAAUCCAAUAUCAUAUGCUAUGCUUCCAUCAGGUUUGAACAAUCCAAAGUUUCUCUCAGAAGUUGGCCCAGGCUUUAAAUUCUCAUUGAACAAUGCGAAANNNNNNNNNAAGCUCUCACCACAGUUUUAGGCCUAUAGGGGGUACCCUUCUUUUUAGAUAGCCGUUUCUUCAGAUUAUAAUUGUAGGUCCUAGCAUUUUGCAAUGUAGCACCUGCUUCAUUUGCAUCUCCACGAGACGCCCAGCCAGUUUCAGAAACUAUGACUUCCAUCUUGGGAAACCCUGCCUUUUCCAGGGCAGCAUAAGCUGCAUCAACCUGAGCAUCAAACAUGUUAUCAUAGUGUAGAUUAGUCUUUGUAUCUACAAUUCCAGGAUUUGAUUUAAAAAGAGCAUAGUUAACGUCAAUAUGCUCAGGAUCACUCUUGUAGGCUAGAAAAGGAUAGGCAUUUAUGUAGAAAGGAGAACCAAUCUGCGAGAAGAACUGCA